GAAGACGACUGGAGCAACGCACAAGCCCGCACACGUGUUGACGUACCAGCGUUUCCGUAAACAGCUACGUGACUUGAAGCUGCGCGUGCAGUACGUCAUCUGACCGCAGGGAGGCGCUGUUACGCUACUCUAUGGCGUGUGAGUCCUUCCAUUCCAGCUGGGUCCUCUUGGUCUGUGAUGACACUGUGACUUUUUACAAGUUUUACAAGGUUUAUUUACUUCAACAGCUUGUAUUUAGCAGUUUGAAUUAUUAAUAAUAAUUAUAAUCAGCAUCAUCAACAUAUAUGUACAAGCUAAGAUAAGAAAUAUAACAUUUGUAGAUGUACUGAAGUACAUAGAAAUAACUGUCAUAUAUAUUGCUAACAUAACAUGUUAACAUGUUAAAACAUAUUCUUUGGCUCAAGGAAUAGAGAAGCGAUGUGACAGUGUGAUGCUUUCUCAGAAGCCAAGAACGUAUGAACAUUAUUUAUUUAAUCCUUAAAUAAAAUUGAAUUGGUUUUAAAUUGAGUGAAAAAUAA